rnacentral:lncRNA from 1 species
UCAAUUCACAUCCUUGAACAUUCACAUUCCAAUCUUAUGCACUAGCUUCAAGAAAUCGUUAAUAGAUAUAAAUAAAUCAACCAUAUUAACUUGAAUGAAUAUUCCGUACCUUGAAAUUAUCAUUCUUGAUAGAUAUGAACAUCUUCAUGUAAUGUCGUGGAAUGACUCUUCAAUACUUCCAUAAGGGUAUUCUCGAUGCCAUCAUGUUUAUAGUUAUAGCAAUAUACAUAUGUACACAAAUUGCACUUAGGAUGUGGUACUUCAGGACCAAGAAUUGUAUAUGCNNN